GGUAGCUCAAUGGCAGAGCAUUUGCCUAGCAAGUAUAAGGCCCUGGUUCAAUCCCCAGCACA
rnacentral:tRNA from 1 species